GCAUCUGAGGGAGGGAGAGAAAAAUCUGGAAACCUCAGGUGCGAUCUCUGUCUUUGUUUCUUCUACAAGUUUCGAUUCCUUCCUUCCCUUCGUUCCUUGCUGUCGCCGAUGUGAGAGCCGAGUUGCUGUGAGUCUGCCGGCGCAGCUCUGCCAUUCCUGAAGCUCCUUUUUGUUCUGCUUCUCGCAGCCGAACAAUCUUCUCCCUCCAUUCUUUUUGUUCGUGUGUGGUAAUGAUGCGAGGAGCUGAUUUGGUGCCAUAGGAGGUUCGUAUUAGGAGAUUUAAAGGCUAGAUACCACCAUCUUCUUCCUUCCCUGUUGAGCUGCGAGAAUUCCGUCUUCUCCUCUGUUUCUAGCUUCACCGAUCUGAGGAUGUCUAGAGGAAGAGGAUCUUGAUAAAAGUGAUAAAGAAUGAGUUAUAAAAGUUGGGAAGGCUUAUUAGUUUUGGCAAUGCUUCUGCAUAGCUUCCUCUCGGACAUCGAAGCUCCGAUGGAUCAACAUAAUAAAACACUGGAUAUAUCAGCCGGCCUUCCUCCUUGAAACACUCUAGAAUCUUUGCAAGUUCUUUCAAGCAAAAGUGCACGUGUGAUUUCUUCCCAGUUUAGAUGCCUUCAUCAUCGAUAAAGGCAUGAAUUCCACGUUGGUGCAGGGCUUCGCGGAGAUAGCCAAUGAAACCCAAGCGAGUAUCUUCACCAUGGAAAUUAAGGAAAACGUCGCAAGUCCAUUUGUAAGUGAUGGAAGAAGAUCCUGCUCGGUGUGCCAUGAUUGCUGCGUGGUUCGCGGCUAAUCUUAUUUGAGUCUUACAGCUGAAUUAACAUAUAACAGAAGCGUAAGUAGAGCGAAGCAAGAAGAAAUCCCACUGGACUCGAAAGAAAUAUCCCACAAAGCUGUGCGAAUGAUAGGGACCUUUGACAGAGCUAAUCUUAGCAGACUUAGCUAGAGCUCAAAAAUGGCGGAAGCGUUGAAUAAACCAAGAAGAGAUCUGACAGGACCGGAGAGAACGAAGGAUAUUAAAGAGCAACUCAAUGGUGAAGGACAUGUUAAUAUACAACAACACAAAGCUUCCGCCAUAUCUCUCUCCUACCCAUAUGUUCUUUGGGCUUCUAUGUUUUAAAGACCAGCGAGACUUGGAGAGUAAUGUUUCAAGAACCCAAUCAGACCAUAUAAAUCUUACCAUCUUACCCCAUGUCCGAA